rnacentral:rRNA from 1 species
AUGACCGUGACGCUCCAGGAUAUUGCUAUGAUCACCGGUCUUCCUAUCGAGGGGAAUCCUUUAUGUAUGAACACCGAUUCUGAUGGGUGGCAUGCGCAGAUGAAUGCGCUUAUCGGUAUGGUUCCUCCGGAGCCUCGGGAACCAGAAGCAGAAGACAAGAAGAAGGAAAGAGUCGCGGACUAUGUUUGUUGA